rnacentral:rRNA from 1 species
GAUGAACGCUGGCGGCGUGCCUAAUACAUGCAAGUCGAGCGAACAGAUGAGGAGCUUGCUCCUCUGACGUUAGCGGCGGACGGGUGAGUAACACGUGGAUAACCUACCUAUAAGACUGGGAUAACUUCGGGAAACCGGAGCUAAUACCGGAUAAUAUAUUGAACCGCAUGGUUCAAUAGUGAAAGACGGUUUUGCUGUCACUUAUAGAUGUAUCCGCGCCGCAUUAGCUAGUUGGUAAGGUAACGGCUUACCAAGGCAACGAUGCGUAGCCGACCUGAGAGGGUGAUCGGCCACACUGGAACUGAGACACGGUCCAGACUCCUACGGGAGGCAGCAGUAGGGAAUCUUCCGCAAUGGGCGAAAGCCUGACGGAGAAACGCCGCGUGAGUGAUGAAGGUCUUCGGAUCGUAAAACUCUGUUAUUAGGGAAGAACAAAUGUGUAAGUAACUAUGCACGUCUUGACGGUACCUAAUCAGAAAGCCACGGCUAACUACGUG